rnacentral:rRNA from 1 species
UACGGGGGGAGCAAGCGUUGUUCGGAUUUACUGGGCGUAAAGGGCGCGUAGGCGGCCACCGCAAGUCGGUUGUGAAAUCUCCGGGCUUAACCCGGAAAGGUCAAUCGAUACUGCGGGGCUAGAGUGCAGAAGGGGCAACUGGAAUUCUCGGUGUAGCGGUGAAAUGCGUAGAUAUCGAGAGGAACACCUGCGGCGAAGGCGGGUUGCUGGGCUGACACUGACGCUGAGGCGCGAAGCCAGGGGAGCGAACGGG